ACAGUGGAGAGUUUGAUCCUGGCUCAGGAUGAACGCUGGCUACAGGCUUAACACAUGCAAGUCGAGGGGAAACGGCAUUGAGUGCUUGCACUGAAUGGACGUCGACCGGCGCACGGGUGAGUAACGCGUAUCCAACCUUCCCGUUACUGCGGGAUAACCUGCCGAAAGGCAGACUAAUACCGCAUGUUCUUCGAUGACGGCAUCAGAUUCGAAGCAAAGACUCGUCGGUAACGGAGGGGGAUGCGUCUGAUUAGCUGGUUGGCGGGGCGACGGCCCACCAAGGCGACGAUCAGUAGGGGUUCUGAGAGGAAGGUCCCCCACAUUGGAACUGAGACACGGUCCAAACUCCUACGGGAGGCAGCAGUGAGGAAUAUUGGUCAAUGGGCGGAAGCCUGAACCAGCCAAGUAGCGUGCAGGAGGACGGCCCUACGGGUUGUAAACUGCUUUUAUGCGGGGAUAAAGUGAGGGACGUGUCCCUUUUUGCAGGUACCGCAUGAAUAAGGACCGGCUAAUUCCGUGCCAGCAGCCGCGGUAAUACGGAAGGUCCGGGCGUUAUCCGGAUUUAUUGGGUUUAAAGGGAGCGUAGGCCGGGGAUUAAGUGUGUUGUGAAAUGUAGGCGCCCAACGUCUGACUUGCAGCGCAUACUGGUUCCCUUGAGUACGCGCAACGCCGGCGGAAUUCGUCGUGUAGCGGUGAAAUGCUUAGAUAUGACGAAGAACCCCGAUUGCGAAGGCAGCCGG
rnacentral:rRNA from 1 species